UACGUAGGGGGCAAGCGUUGUCCGGAAUCAUUGGGCGUAAAGCGCGCGUAGGUGGCCCAGUAAGUCCGCUCUGAAAGUCAAAGGCUCAACCUUUGAAAGCGGGUGGAUACUGCUGGGCUAGAGUCCGGAAGAGGCGAGUGGAAUUCCUGGUGUAGCGGUGGAAUGCGCAGAUAUCAGGAGAAACACCAACGGCGAAGGCAGCUCGCUGGGACGGUACUGACACUAAGGCGCGAAAGCGUGGGGAGCGAACAGG
rnacentral:rRNA from 1 species